GAUGGUUCAUUCAAAUUUCUGCCCUAUCAACCUUCGAUGGUAGAGUAGUGGUCUACCAUGGUGUUCAACGGGUAACGGGGAAUUAGGGUUCUAUUCCGGAGAGGGAGCCUGAGAAACGGCUACCACAUCCAAGGAAGGCAGCAGGCGCGCAAAUUACCCAAUCCCGACACGGGGAGGUAGUGACAAUAAAUACUGAUACAGGGCUCUUUUGGGUCUUGUAAUUGGAAUGAGUACAAUUUAAAUCCCUUAACGAGGAACAAUUGGAGGGCAAGUCUGGUGCCAGCAGCCGCGGUAAUUCCAGCUCCAAUAGCGUAUAUUAAAGUUGUUGCAGUUAAAAAGCUCGUAGUUGAACCUUGGGCCUGGCUGGCCGGUCCGCCUCACCGCGUGCACCGGUCCGGCCGGGCCUUUCCUCCUGGGGAGCCGCAUGCCCUUCACUGGGUGUGUCGGGGAACCAGGACUUUUACUUUGAAAAAAUUAGAGUGUUCAAAGCAGGCCUAUGCUCGAAUACAUUAGCAUGGAAUAAUAGA
rnacentral:rRNA from 1 species